AUUGAACGCUAGCGGGAUGCCUUACACAUGCAAGUCGAACGGAGUGGCGAACGGGUGAGUAAUGUAUCGGAACGUGCCCAGUAGCGGGGGAUAACUACGCGAAAGCGUAGCUAAUACCGCAUACUAUUGUACCGGCCGAUAUCGGAGUAGAUAGUUGGUGUGGGAACGGCUCACCAAGGCGACGAUCCGUAGCUGGUUUGAGAGGACGACCAGCCACACUGGGACUGAGAAACGGCCCCGACGCCUACGGGAGGCAGCAGUGGGGAAUUUUGGACAAUGGGGGAAAGCCUGAUCCAACCAGCCCGCGUGUGUGAUGAAGGCCUUCGGGUUGUAAAGCACUUUUGGCAGGAAAGCGGUACCUGCAGAAUAAGCACCGGCUAACUACGUGCCAGCAGCCGCGGUAAUAC
rnacentral:rRNA from 1 species